UUAUAAUCCUGUGACCAGAGUGUAAAUAACUCAGUGGCUAUUGUUACACCAGUCGUACUAAUUCCUGUACCUGUAGGCUAUUAUUUUUAUGUUAAUGUGCCAUACGUAACAGAAAUGCAUUGAAGAUGCUAACGCUCUCAAGUGCUAUACAUGCCACAGCUGUACAAGUUUUUCUGGCUGCGGAGAAGAUGAUUUUACCCCUUCUAAAGCCAUUCAGACGACAUGUGCAAUAGGUAAAGUCUGUGGGAAAGGCGUUAUUGGAGAGGUUGCCUUUCGUGGUUGCACUUCUAUAAGAGAGGGACUGGCAAAUAACGAGUGUCAUGCUUCUGAAAAAGAUUCCGCGGAGCUUUGCUAUUGCUCAACUGAUCUAUGCAAUAAUGGACUCAGAAACAAUCUUGGUCUUGUCUUAGCCUUCAUUGCCAUUUUGGGCGCCAAGUAUCUGUAGACCCAGCAGCAUAUCUCAUUAUUACAAUGUUCUUUGUGUCUUUUUAGAAUACAUAUGUGAUCUAUGUUUGGUAUGGUAGCGGAAUUACAAUACUUGUAUAAU